rnacentral:rRNA from 1 species
CACGUAGGGCGCGAGCGUUGUCCGGAAUUUAUUGGGCGUAAAGAGCUCGUAGGCGGCCUGUUGCGUCCGCUGUGAAAGCCCGGGGCUUAACCCCGGGUCGGCAGUGGAUACGGGCAAGCUAGAAUUCGGUAGGGGAGACUGGAAUUCCUGGUGUAGCGGUGAAAUGCGCAGAUAUCAGGAGGAACACCGGUGGCGAAGGCGGGUCUCUGGGCCGAUAUUGACGCUGAGGAGCGAAAGCGUGGGGAGCGAACAGG